AGGUAAUGCCCGUGAAGUUGGAGCAUGCGCAGUGCGUGGUGGGGUGACGUGUUGUUUUUGAAUCUCAAGUUACCCGCUUGGCUGUCAGAACGUCGAAGGCAGAGGCUUUUUUACGCGCUGCGUUUUGGAGACGGUGACUCGUGGACAGCUUCUUGGAACAGAGACGGACAUGGAAGAAGAAAGCAGCAGCCAGGAGGAGAGACAGGGUUGGAGCUGGAGCCGGAGCGCGAGUGAGGACGAAAGAGAAAAGGACAAUUGCUGGAAAGCAACUGAGAGACUAAUUGAAAAAAAUGUAUAUAUUUUAACCCUAAAACAGGC